AAGCAAGAUGUUUUGUCGUUUCCAUUCAUUGUUAUUCACAAAAAGUUGAAAAUGCUUUUCCUCUUCGCCACCUGCAAGACUUGCGCCGUCAGCUGGCCCAUCAUGAAGUUGUUCGAUGCUAUAGAAUUGAGCAUAAAUAUUGCUUCCCUAUCCGGUGCGAUUAUUUUGUGCAAAACAGUGUGUACACUUAUAUAGCACACACCCAGCAAAAAAAACUUGUUUGAAAUUGUUAUGAAAGCUUGUUCAGCCGCCCGAUCGCCAUCCAAUCAUGACCGGGUUCGAGGAAGUGUUCGCUCGAGUGUGUCCAGUUGAGCCGACUGGUCUCUUAAUUAAAUCGUUAUGCAAAUUCCGGGAAGGGAGCGACUGCGACUGACAUUCUAUUUAUUAUGCUGUCCCAUUGACAAACAAGUGUGUUUUCACCUCCACUGGUGGAAGUACCAUGCGGCUCCAUCGUCGGGUUUGUCAGGUUGACUGAGAAGAAACAUUAAAAUUCUUGAAUUAAAUUUAUGUUUUGUGCGAUUUUCUACAAAAUCAGUCUCACCAUUGAGCAAUGUUAUUUGUAGAGAGAAAUGCUAAAAUAAGGUAAAAAAUGGUAAAAAAAACUGCAGCCAAAGAAAUCUCGCCACGGAUCUACGGAUCGAGCGGAAAAGCACAAUUUUGUUAGCUGCUGCAUGCUUCUUAGCACAAUGUAGAGUUGAUUUUUCCCUUCCUCGGCCCUACAUUUCCAACCCACCAGAGGGUGGCUGGAGGAGUACGGGCUCUGCCUGGCAACGAGUACCGUAUCGCCCAGGGUUCAUCAGCCGUUGGAGCAGCCAACACGAUAUUAUGAGCCACGGGACCAUAUGGAAGCGCCCAACGGUGGUGGAGAGAGAAACGACCAUCCGGCACAGACGACGACGACGACGAUGGUGUCAUCGAAUGAAUAGCGUACUCGGUAUCUCGGUAUCAUUUUACCGCCGCCCACGUGCACCGUCUGCAGGGGUGUAGAUAAGAACACUCGUCAAAGGCGUAACAGAAGGAUUUCUUUGGAAAGAUUCUUUUCCACUUGCUAUCGAAGCAUUGCGACUAACUAAGUAACGAGAUACUUUAAGCGUGAACCAGAACGGAUUGCAAACUUAUAAUAAUCACAGUUUUUGCAACCCUCUUCCCACACCUACCCUGUCUAAUGCCCUUGCAUUAAGUGUGUUAAAUAUUACGCUGUCAGUUCGAUUAUCGUUUUUUUUUCUUCGCCAUAUCCUUCCCACCGACCGAUCAAUCAUAGAAAAAGUCGAUUUGGAAAGUUGAUCCUUUUUGUGGCACUCUCUCUCUCUGUCCCGAGGAUUGGGUAGGUGUACACUCGAGACCGGGCGCGUCUGCGUGCCGCAGCGGGUAAAAGCUGCGACCGACUGUCGUUAUCGGAAAAUUAUAUAUCACAUCUUGCUUUAAACCCCACUUUAGCUGUUCAUUUUUCUUUUGUUGGGUUGUUGGUGGAGAGCGUUUCAACAGAAAAGCUUUGCGAAAGGUUACGUGUAUCGAGCAUUGUAUCGUUCACGUUAAUAUUGCUUCUUCGCCGGGGCACAUAACCUAGUAAGAGUGGGGCACAAAAAAGGCUCCACGAUUAUACGCGUUCGUUCACGGGCUUUUUCUCAAUAAGCUCAUUGAAGUGUUGAGCGUUUGCAAAAGGAGCAAGAACAGCAUUGUACGCGAUCCAUUAACAAUGGAUGCCAUUUACACAACGAUGCUGCAUGAAAUGUCAAUCGAGAUACGGUAACAUCGACGUUACGGCGUUGAGCAAUUGAUUGGUCUAUUUUUCGUGUUGAGAGCUGUCUCUACAUUCCAUUUUCCCUCACACUAUCAACUCUCACUGUCUAUAAGUGUGUAGCAUUAAUUGUAGCUUCCUUUUGUUCGUGACGAAAAUAUGCCACCGACCAUAUUUUAAUUUUGGUGCAUUAUUGAUCCAGUUUAAUCGCCAUGAUUGAUCUCUGGUUGAUGGAACUAGGAAAGGUCGCAGUCGUCUGACAUAGUUCGACACGAAACGGUACCACGGGGCAUGGCCGGGGCAUGGUGGUCGUGGAAAAUUUCGGUUCACUGUUUUUGACACCGCCAGACACCAACGAAAUGCUCCGAUGAAUUCGACCACCGUACCUUCAUGUCCAGGCUCACAAAAAAGGAGGUCAACAGUUGCAGCCGGUUUGAUUGAUCGCUUAAUAUAAUUAUAGAUAAACAUCAGCGAUAUUCGAUAGUGGUAGGAUGCGACAGACAGGGGGCUGGUCCAAUGGUACAGUCAUCAACUCGAACGACUCAAUAACAUGCCCGUCAUGGGUUCAAGCCCAGAAUGGACUGGACCGUCCCUCCCGUAGCAAGGAUUGACUAUCCUAUCCGGCUUGCUUGUGCUUGGUAAUGAAUUAAGUCUCGAAAGCCUGCAUAGGCCGGGACAUGUCCGCGUAGGACGUUAUGCCAAGUCAAGUCAGUUAAUUAUGACACGGAAAUGAAUCGUCUGGUUUAAGCCGUUCCAAAAGAACCAAAAGAAUCAAAACCUGGCAGGUAAAAACCUGUCCAGUAGGCUUAGUAAGUCUGUGUUGUUCAGUAGUCUAGUAAGUCUUAACAAAUCUCUGACCUUGGCACCCACCAUCAUGCGUAGGUCGUUUAUGCUAAGCAAGAGAAAGAAGAAGAAUGUAAGGAAUCUUCAUUUUUUCAUCGUUUGAUUGGUGUAAACCCCCAUCCAUCCAUCCUCGUUCCAUCUCAUUUACAAACCGGUCGUCCAUCUCUUAGCAUUUUCCCCGAUGAUGUCCAAGAACGUGUCGAACAAGUUGCCCCGUUGCUUGGGUGCUGUGCUGUGCGGUUGCUAGACACCGCGAGCUACACACCAUGCUUUACACACCAAAUAACAGAAAGGCCCUCCACAUCGUAGUGGCCGUUGCUUGGUUGUGUUGUUGUGUGACAUCAAAACGCUCGCAGCGCGGGUCAGUGUGAUAGCUGCCGAGAAUCCGGGGCGCAGCAGCGACGGAUGACACCGUAUCAUUCGCCUCGUUCAAACAUCCUACCAUCGAAACUGACCGAAGAAGAAAAAUAUUUCGAUGGAAGCAAGUGGAUAUAAAAAAAACGGACAAAUUCUUUGUGGGGCCGGUUGGGGGGCCUUUGAGUGUGCGGCAGAGAGAGAGAGAGCGUGUAACCUUCAACCACACACUAUUGCGCUCCCAUGGCCUACCUUGCCUUUGAAAAACGAGAUCGGACGUCACCCGAAGAGACGCGGACACAUCGUUUGAUGGGGUGGUGCUGUUGUGGCCCGUUGAACGACGCCGGGGCAGGAGGGAGGACUAGAUCAGCUAUUUUUGGCACCGAAUUUAUGGUAAUGAACUUACUGUCUUUUCCUCCCCGCGAUCGAUUGGCCUGGGGGCGAAAACACAACAGCGCGGCGGUUUGUUUGCUCCGGUCCGGCAGCAAUAAUAAUUCGCGAAUCAAUCAACAUGCACAUAAUCAACUCCUUUUUCUAUCAACAGUAAACGAGCUCGCUCAGUGAUGGUACAACGUGUAGAACAAGGGCAGCGCAGAUAAGUUGGAAUGAACUUGCAGCGAUUUUGUCGCUUUCAAAAGACAUCAAACGACAAGUGUCUAAUAUCGCUCCAGCAUGCCAGUGGUGUUAUGCAAUGGCCAUUUUGCUAUCAAUUUUGCGGACACAGCACACCACCUCGCAGGUAGAAGCGAAUGAUUACGAAGCAGUAAAAAUACCAUCUCGUCGGCAGAGUAACACAGGUUCGGGACAUGAUUGUGACAGUCAGUAAGAAACGGGUCCGUCCGUUCACGAUAAGCCGGCUCGCGAACGGGCAAGAACAAUUCAAUCCGGUCUGAUCGACCGUACGUACAUCGUCCGUGCAAGUACAUCGGCCCAUCAUCACGCAACAGCGAAACGGGCAGCGCCCGUUUUCUGCCCCAUUCGCCACCAGGUCCCAAGGGUACCACCCCCUCCCCCUCCCAGUAAGGUAUUUAUCGAUUUAAUAACAAUUCUGUAGCUAAAAAUAAAUUAUGCAUAAACUUCACUUGCAUAUAUUUUCGGUCGCCUUAUCCCGGCCGCGUUUCAACCGCUGGUGUAUGGAUGUGUUUGUUUGUGUGUGUGUAUGUGUGUGUGCUGUCUGUGCUCCGAUCCUUCCAUAUAUCGUGCCGUUGCCGUUUGAAAGAAAGAAAAAAAAGGACCGUCGUCACGAAUAAGGAGGUCGGCGCCGAUUUCCUUUGGGGCGUUUCGGUUCGCCCUUCGCUCAACCGUCUACGUCCCCAUCCAACCCCUCAAUACUACCCGUAACGUACCGCACGCAAUCCUGGGGGCAUUUCGCACAAACCACACACACACACACACACACACAUACAGAGAAGUAGACACAUUACACAUGGCAGUAGGUGGCGUGGUUUUUAAUGAAAGGGAAGAAACGGAAAAUCGGCACACGGUCGCAAGAAGGGAGAUAGAAUCAUCGCAACAAAUCUAUACACACCCGUACGUACACACACACUCACACACUUUGCUGUAGCCACAUCACUGACACUGACAGUUAGAGUUGUACGCGGGGAGCGUGAGAUUGCCAGGAGGGGUUUUUCCGCUUUGCUUGCUUGACGGCAGCGGCAGCUUCUUCGCUCAUUCGGACGAUUCAUUCAUCUGCGAGCGAACGGAAAAAAGCUCCCCACUCACACUCACACACACACGCACGCCUCGUACACAGGCAGGGAGAAAGGUUUGUGUGUCAGCUUCACUGGAAACAUCCUUCGCGACACUCCACCCGUAGCCAAAGUAGCCUUUGCCUUUCGGUAUUUCGCUGUUACUGCCACAAAUUCCGCGUUUUGCCAUUGCCACUUUCACCGAAUGGGUGUCACAGUAAUGGCAAGCACGAAACACAUAAAAACACUUCGCGGUUGCUUUCCCCGGGGAAAGCUGAGCAUUUCAGGCAUUUUGGGGGUGGUGGGGGGAA